CUUAGAGUUUGAUCCUGGCUCAGAUUGAACGCUGGCGGCAGGCCUAACACAUGCAAGUCGAGCGGUAGAGAGAAGCUUGCUUUUCUUGAGAGCGGCGGACGGGUGAGUAAUGCCUAGGAAUCUGCCUGGUAGUGGGGGAUAACGUUCGGAGACGGACGCUAAUACCGCAUACGUCCUACGGGAGAAAGCAGGGGACCUUCGGGCCUUGCGCUAUCAGAUGAGCCUAGGUCGGAUUAGCUAGUUGGUGAGGUAAUGGCUCACCAAGGCGACGAUCCGUAACUGGUCUGAGAGGAUGAUCAGUCACACUGGAACUGAGACACGGUCCAGACUCCUACGGGAGGCAGCAGUGGGGAAUAUUGGACAAUGGGCGAAAGCCUGAUCCAGCCAUACCGCGUGUGUGAAGAAGGUCUUCGGAUUGUAAAGCACUUUAAGUUGGGAGGAAGGGCAGUAAAUUAAUACUUUGCUGUUUUGACGUUACCGACAGAAUAAGCACCGGCCAACUCUGUGCCAGCAGCCGCGGUAAUACAGAGGGUGCAAGCGUUAAUCGGAAUUACUGGGCGUAAAGCGCGCGUAGGUGGUUUGUUAAGUUGGAUGUGAAAUCCCCGGGCUCAACCUGGGAACUGCAUUCAAAACUGACUGACUAGAGUAUGGUAGAGGGUGGUGGAAUUUCCUGUGUAGCGGUGAAAUGCGUAGAUAUAGGAAGGAACACCAGUGGCGAAGGCGACCACCUGGACUAAUACUGACACUGAGGUGCGAAAGCGUGGGGAGAAAACAGGAUUAGAUACCCUGGUAGUCCACGCCGUAAACGAUGUCAACUAGCCGUUGGAAGCCUUGAGCUUUUAGUGGCGCAGCUAACGCAUUAAGUUGACCGCCUGGGGAGUACGGCCGCAAGGUUAAAACUCAAAUGAAUUGACGGGGGCCCGCACAAGCGGUGGAGCAUGUGGUUUAAUUCGAAGCAACGCGAAGAACCUUACCAGGCCUUGACAUCCAAUGAACUUUCUAGAGAUAGAUUGGUGCCUUCGGGAACAUUGAGACAGGUGCUGCAUGGCUGUCGUCAGCUCGUGUCGUGAGAUGUUGGGUUAAGUCCCGUAACGAGCGCAACCCUUGUCCUUAGUUACCAGCACGUCAUGGUGGGCACUCAAAGGAGACUGCCGGUGACAAACCGGAGGAAGGUGGGGAUGACGUCAAGUCAUCAUGGCCCUUACGGCCUGGGCUACACACGUGCUACAAUGGUCGGUACAGAGGGUUGCCAAGCCGCGAGGUGGAGCUAAUCCCACAAAACCGAUCGUAGUCCGGAUCGCAGUCUGCAACUCGACUGCGUGAAGUCGGAAUCGCUAGUAAUCGCGAAUCAGAAUGUCGCGGUGAAUACGUUCCCGGGCCUUGUACACACCGCCCGUCACACCAUGGGAGUGGGUUGCACCAGAAGUAGCUAGUCUAACCUUCGGGAGGACGGUUACCACGGUGUGAUUCAUGACUGGGGUGAAGUCGUAACAAGGUAGCCGUAAAGGGC
rnacentral:rRNA from 1 species